GGUAGUGUGGCCGAGCGGUCGACGGCGCUGGAUUAAGCCUCCAGUCUCUUCGGAGGCGUGGGUUCAAAUCCUACCACUGCCA